CAGGGACCCUCUGCACACAUCAAGAACAGUCACCCACGAAGCAUCGUUACCCAUCGCUCCACAAAAACCGCGGCACUUGCAGAGCAAAAGGAACAACUACUUCAAGGUCUCAGAGCAAGUGAUGUCACCGAUCGAAACGCCACCAGCACGCCCUAACCCUAACUAGCUAGCCAUUUCACAUCGGUUACACUACCUACCCUUCAGGCUUAUUGAGAAGUUCAAUCAGUAUUGAUUGUGUCUCCUUCAGUAGUGUGGUCUUCCUACAGUAUGUUCUUGUUCCAAGUUGCUGCACGUGCCUGAUUUCCAGGAAGUGUAUAAGUACCCAAACCUGCCAGAGUACUUGAAGGACAGAGUGGUCUACAAUAUAUCAGAGAACAGGAAAGAAAACCUCCCCGUCGCUCUGCCUGGGGACUCCAUGGACAAGUACACUCUGGCUAAGCUAUAUACAGACAGUUCAUUACACACUGACUAAACUAUAGCCAGACACCUCAGUUCAGUCAUCGACUCAAUGGAAAGAGGGAAAGUAAGACGUAUUGACAUAACAUCUCUCAUCCACAAGAGGGCAUAUUUCCACAACCAAGGAGAGCUAUUAUAAAGAAAUCAGGCUCAUGUAGGCUACAGCUGCCAUCUUGGAUCAUGUUGCAUCAGCUAUGGAAGGAACACAGCUCUCCAACCUUCAGUGUGAACUGAACCCCUAAAGGAACAUCACUGAAGGUUUGAAAUGUCUGUCUGUCUGAUUCAUAAAGAUCAGAAAAUGACAUUUUCACACCGCACCUUCAACUUUGUUUAUGAGGGGUAGGGUAAAGUCAAAUAAGCCCAACCCUUAAGGUGUGCCUCCUGUAGAAAACUGGGACAAAAGAAACUGGACUGACAUUGAGCAUUUGUGGGCCACAAAGAGUGAAAGAAAAACAGACAUUUCAACCUGAAGACCAUGCCUCAGGACUACCUGAUGACUCCUUGCUGUCCCCAGUCCACC